rnacentral:rRNA from 1 species
GUGGAUUAGAUACCCUGGUAGUCCACGCCCUAAACGAUGUCAACUAGUUGUUGGUAGGGUAAAACCUAUUAGUAACGUAGCUAACGCGUGAAGUUGACCGCCUGGGGAGUACGGCCGCAAGGUUAAAACUCAAAGGAAUUGACGGGGACCCGCACAAGCGGUGGAUGAUGUGGAUUAAUUCGACGCAACACGAAAAACCUUACCUACCCUUGACAUGCCAGGAACCCUGCUGAGAGGUGGGGGUGCCCGAAAGGGAGCCUGGACACAGGUGCUGCACGGCCGUCGACAACU